rnacentral:rRNA from 1 species
CAGAGGUGCCGAGCGUUAGGCGAAAUCACUGGGCUUAAAGCGUGUGUAGGCGGAUGCCUAAGUACCUUGUGAAAUCCCACGGCUUAACCGUGGAACUGCUUGGUAUACUGGGUGUCUUGAGCCACUUAGGGGCGACCGGAACAAACGGUGGAGCGGUGAAAUGCGUAGAUAUCGUUUGGAACGCCAAUGGUGAAAACAGGUCGCUGAGAGUGCGCUGACGCUGAGACACGAAAGCCAGGGGAGCGAACGGGAUUAGAUACCCCGGUAGUCCUGGCCGUAAACGAUGUCGACUAGAUCGUGGCAGCUCUGACGUUGUCACGGUCGAAGCAAAAGUGCUAAGUCGACCGCCUGGGAAGUACGGUCGCAAGGCUAA